AUACAACUUUCAGCAACGGAUCUCUUGGCUCUCGCAUCGAUGAAGAACGCAGCGAAAUGCGAUAAGUAAUGUGAAUUGCAGAAUUCAGUGAAUCAUCGAAUCUUUGAACGCACCUUGCGCUCCUUGGUACUCCGAGGAGCAUGCCUGUUUGAGUGUCAUUA
rnacentral:rRNA from 1 species